rnacentral:rRNA from 1 species
UGGGGAAUUUUGCACAAUGGGGGAAACCCUGAUGCAGCGACGCCGCGUGAUUUAGAAGGCCUUCGGGUUGUAAAAAUCUUUUCUAUGGGAAGAAAAUGACAGUACCAUAGGAAUAAGGACCGGCUAAUUACGUGCCAGCAGCCGCGGUAAUACGUAAGGUCCGAGCGUUGUCCGGAAUCAUUGGGCGUAAAGGGUACGUAGGCGGGUAAGCAAGUUAGAAGUGAAAUCCUAUAGCUCAACUAUAGUAAGCUUUUAAAACUGCUCAUCUUGAGGUAUGGAAGGGAAAGUGGAAUUCCUAGUGUAGCGGUGAAAUGCGCAGAUAUUAGGAGGAAUACCGGUGGCGAGGCGACUUUCUGGCCAUAACCUGACGCUGAGGUACGAAAGCGUGGGUAGCAAACAGG